rnacentral:misc_RNA from 1 species
GAUGAAGAACGCAGCGAAAUGCGAUAAGUAAUGUGAAUUGCAGAAUUCAGUGAAUCAUCGAAUCUUUGAACGCACCUUGCGCCCUUUGGCCAUUCCGAAGGGCAUGCCUGUUUGAGUAUCAUGAACACCUCAACUCUUUAUGGUUUUCCAUGAUGAGCUUGGACUCUGGGGGUUUUGCUGGCUCACAGUCGGCUCCUCUAAAAUAAAUCAGCUUACCAGUGUUUGGUGGGUAUCAUGGGUGUGAUAACUAUCUACGCUUGUGGUUUUUCCACCAGGUAACCUUCAGCAGUGGAGGUUCGCUGGAGCUCAUAGACGUCUCUCCUCAGUGAGGACAGCCCUUUGUACGUUUGAUCUCAAAUCAGGUAGGACUACCCGCUGAACUUAAGCAUAUCAAUAAGCGGAGGA